ACGAACGCUGGCGGCGUGCCUAAUACAUGCAAGUCGAACGCUUCUUUUUCCAUCGGAGCUUGCUCCACCGGAAAAAGAGGAGUGGCGAACGGGUGAGUAACACGUGGGUAACCUGCCCAUCAGAAGGGGAUAACACUUGGAAACAGGUGCUAAUACCGUAUAACAAUCGAAACCGCAUGGUUUUGAUUUGAAAGGCGCUUUCGGGUGUCGCUGAUGGAUGGACCCGCGGUGCAUUAGCUAGUUGGUGAGGUAACGGCUCACCAAGGCGACGAUGCAUAGCCGACCUGAGAGGGUGAUCGGCCACAUUGGGACUGAGACACGGCCCAAACUCCUACGGGAGGCAGCAGUAGGGAAUCUUCGGCAAUGGACGAAAGUCUGACCGAGCAACGCCGCGUGAGUGAAGAAGGUCUUCGGAUUGUAAACUUCUUUUAUUAAGGACGAAGAAAGUGACGGUACUUAAUGAAUAAGCUCCGGCUAACUACGUGCCAGCAGCCGCGGUAAUACGUAGGUGGCAAGCGUUGUCCGGAUUUAUUGGGCGUAAAGCGAGCGCAGGCGGUUUCUUAAGUCUGAUGUGAAAGCCCCCGGCUCAACCGGGGAGGGUCAUUGGAAACUGGGAGACUUGAGUGCAGAAGAGGAGAGUGGAAUUCCAUGUGUAGCGGUGAAAUGCGUAGAUAUAUGGAGGAACACCAGUGGCGAAGGCGGCUCUCUGGUCUGUAACUGACGCUGAGGCUCGAAAGCGUGGGGAGCAAACAGGAUUAGAUACCCUGGUAGUCCACGCCGUAAACGAUGAGUGCUAAGUGUUGGAGGGUUUCCGCCCUUCAGUGCUGCAGCUAACGCAUUAAGCACUCCGCCUGGGGAGUACGACCGCAAGGUUGAAACUCAAAGGAAUUGACGGGGGCCCGCACAAGCGGUGGAGCAUGUGGUUUAAUUCGAAGCAACGCGAAGAACCUUACCAGGUCUUGACAUCCUUUGACCACUCUAGAGAUAGAGCUUCCCCUUCGGGGGCAAAGUGACAGGUGGUGCAUGGUUGUCGUCAGCUCGUGUCGUGAGAUGUUGGGUUAAGUCCCGCAACGAGCGCAACCCUUAUUGUUAGUUGCCAUCAUUUAGUUGGGCACUCUAGCAAGACUGCCGGUGACAAACCGGAGGAAGGUGGGGAUGACGUCAAAUCAUCAUGCCCCUUAUGACCUGGGCUACACACGUGCUACAAUGGGAAGUACAACGAGUCGCAAAGUCGCGAGGCUAAGCUAAUCUCUUAAAGCUUCUCUCAGUUCGGAUUGUAGGCUGCAACUCGCCUACAUGAAGCCGGAAUCGCUAGUAAUCGCGGAUCAGCACGCCGCGGUGAAUACGUUCCCGGGCCUUGUACACACCGCCCGUCACACCACGAGAGUUUGUAACACCCGAAGUCGGUGAGGUAACCUUUUGGAGCCAGCCGCCUAAGGUGGGAUAGAUGAUUGGGGUG
rnacentral:rRNA from 1 species